AGGUGGCGCCUCGUGUGCGGCGGGAGCGGCUUGGUGGUAGCGGUGGUUUGGUCCGGCUGUUGCCCGGUGAGGGGAAGUUGGAGCGAAGGUCGAGUGCUCGUUCCCGACACUCUCAUUCGCACCUCCUCGUCUCCUAGGGCGGCCGGGCCGCAGCCCCGCGCGUCUCCUCAGGGAACUUCACCGGGAGGAGGGCGCCGCUUCCAGCCGCUCGAAUUGAGAACGGGCCUGGCGACGGGAGAGGCCGCAGCCCGGGAGGGGACUGCUAGGCGUUUCGAUGUACCUACCAGCAGCUACAGAAGAUGAAUGAAUGUAAAUAUAAAUACCAAUGUGUUGCAUCAAUUAACUCACAUUGCCCUGACGAAGUUGCAACAUCCAAGUUUUAUGCUGCUGUGCCUGAAGGUUUGGAAGCCCAGGUUGCCGGCCUGGUGGAGAUGUUUCUGGUGGAGGUAUACAGGUGCAAACUCUGCCAGUUCACAAGCAGCAUCAGAAGUAAGAUCAGGACACACCUGGCUCAUAUGCAUGAAGCAGAUGCAGCGUGUCAAAUUUCAGGCUGUCCUAAAGUGGACCGAGAUGAAAAUGAGUCGUAUAGUUUGGGAGAUGAAGCUAACCAAGAAAAUAAAGAAAAUGAAGAAAAUCUUAUAAAAAAUGUCUGUCUUAUUACCUGUGUAUCAGAUGCUUCAAAAUACGAGUCCUUGCUGUUGUGACGUGGGCCCUAGCAGUCAGAGCAGUAAUCCUCGUGCCUCUCACUGCUGUGAAGUGAACACCUUGUUUGGAGAAGGAGCAGCUCAUUUGCAGCUUGAGGACCCCUGUUCUGCGGUGCCAACUUUUCUUUAUUCCAAGAGCAAAGACGAAGAAGCCGCCCAGUUUGUGUAUCUUGGCCUCUGUCUGGUUUCCAGUGUUAGAACUCAGACCUUAGCUGGGGAGAUAAAACCCCCGAAAGCAGAAUCAAGGUGUAAAAAUUACAAAAGUCAGACAAAAACUAGAUGUGACAGUAAAGAGUUAGCCUAUCCUGUGAAAGAUGCUUGUGCCUUAAAGCCGUUAGAGGAAACCUCAUCUCUUUCAGUGCACAGUAUAUUCAUCAUCAUUUAAAACUGAGCAGAUAAGAAAUCUUCGCAUAGUUUGCCGUUAUCAGGAUAUAUUUAAAUGUCUGCACAGUGAUUUUACCAGUAAGUCAAAUUUUAUUUUUAUUCUCAUACAGUUGCCUCAGCUGUAAAUUUCUCUGUGCACAUAAGUUUAUUUGGUCAAUGUAAAAUUUAUUAGAGUUUCAGCAUGAGCUGUAAAUGCUAUGAUGAGAAGCUACAGUAAAACAUCUUCAUACUGGUUUAAACAAAGAAAAUACAAGAAUUGCAAAAACUCUAAAAAUGUCCUAAAUGUUAGCUUUUUGAUGAUGCUUCUUCAUUUGGCAAAAUCCCGUCUCAUUUUAUAUUGUGGAUUCUGAAUAUUUCUAGGAGUAGUUGACCAUCAUAUUCCAAUAAUUUUAAUAUUAGUAGCUUUUUAAUGGCUCUGUAACAUUACUGUAAAGGUAUUUCUAUCAAGCUUGAUGCUUUUUGUCUCUAAGUUUUGUGGCACUGCUAAUAGCUAAAUGUUAUCUCCAUUUAUAAAUGGAGGACCUUGGCAGAGUAACAUAGUCUGUGUCUCUUAAAUCACGAAAGGACAUAAUUCCAGUGUACCAGUGCUGUUCUCCUUUGCAUUGACUACAAAUGUUGCUUUUGCAUCAGUUGUACUUUAUUUAAGCGAGGAGGGAAAAAUGUAAAAAUGUUUCUUUUAUUAAUUGCAAGUGUUUUACCCUCAAAGCCAUGCAUUUAGUGCUUACCUUCAAGUCUGUAGGUAAAAUUUUGAAAGAUUUGUGUAAAAAGGUAGUCUGAGCAUUUUUCUAUUUGACCAUUCAGUGUUGCAGGUGAUUGCAGUGAUUGAUUCAUUUUAGCAAGGUUUCCAUGGCUGCUACUGCUAAUAUAGAACAAAUUCUUGCUGUCUGGGUUGAACUACUGAUUUGGUUCUGAUUGCUCAGUAAGACCAGUGCAAAACCAGGUAAUUUAUGUGAAAUAAGAUGAUGGCUCACAGGAGUGCUCUGGAGGUGUGGCAUCAGAUAAGAAAACAAGCAAUGUUAGGAACAUUGGGGAACGUGGAAUAACAGGGCUUCCUCUGAUUGUAGCCAGCAUUGCAUCUGCGUUGCGGUAUAGGUUUUGAAGGGUUUAGAUUAGAUUAUGUGUUGUGUAGUCUAAUUUUGAAGUUGUCUUUGUUUUUGGGAUAGGUAGGGUUGUUCUGAGUUUUUACUAUUUAAAAGGGCAGGCAAUAGAAUUUUCAUAGAAGGUUAUCGCAGAAUUUCUGCAGGAAAAGUAACUAAAAAAAGGGUAAUUUUUAGAACUAAAACCAAAAUUAGUAUAUUAUUUGCUUCACAACCACAUACAGUGUUUCCACUUAAUUGUACGUGACUGUAAGCUGACAACAAGGCUUGUAGUCCAGUCUAACUUUGUGAGGUUGGGAAGGAGAGCACAUAGAAAGACAACUGAAAUUCACAGUACUUCAAAAUAAAGAUGACUACAACAGUGACAAGAUUUAUGAGUGCUUAUACAAACAAUGCUUUCUUAAGUGAAAGGAGAACUGGUUUGUAUUGGCAAAUUAUAAGUUGUUUCUUGAAUGAGUAAUUUCAUUAGAUUUUUGAUUCUCCCCCCCCCCCGCCCCCAAAGAGUAUCUCUCUUACAACUUUAAUGAGAAAACAACUUGGGACUAGGUAUUCUGGGAUACCUUUUUGACAAUUUCCAUCAUGUCUGGGGGCAGUGAAUUUUGAAGAUUAUAACUUACCAUUCACUGUUCUGUUAACAUAUGCAGAAAGUUUACUUAAUUUUAGCUUCGUGUUGAAAAGUUUAAUAGGUUAAAUACUUAAUAACUUUUGAAGCUAUUGGUAGUACUAUAGAAUUUUAAAUAUUUUACAUUUGUUUUGAAUAUUGUUUGCAUUUUUGUGAUAAAUGUAAGCAAAAGAAGCCUUUCUAAAUAUCUGUUUAACACUGUGCUAAUUUCUAUACAUUUUUAAGACAGAGAAGAAACAUUAAAGAAAUUGUGAGAGGUCUUCAGCUUGCUAGUGUUUUUCAGAUGUUUCAUUCCGUUAAAGGGAGUUUUACUCUAACAUUACACAGAACUGUUAUCUGCCAAUUUAUUAUGCUUGUGGAGCUGAUACCAUGGGUAUGUGAGCCUUCCUGUUUGCUAUGGGGAUAUUUUCUGAAAUAAGUUUUAACCGUAGCUUCUUAGCACCAAGCUUGUGUUUAACUUAAUGCCAAGAUUUUAGCUGUAAUUGCUGACAUUAUUUGCUACAGUAUGCUUGUUAUAAAUUUUAACCUAUGUGAAAGCCUAACUGGUUAGUGGAAAAAAAAUGUACAAAUCGCUAAAAUACUUCUGUGGAGUAUACUGAAGUUUCUUCUUCAUUUCUUAUUUAGGACAAAGCUAUCAAUUUGUCAUGCUAAGAGAUUCUUGUAUGUGAUGUUAUUUGUUGUUUACUUAUCUAAAUUAAAAUAGUUGUUGAUAUUUCUAUAGGCUGUUUAGUUACAGUAUACCAUCUGCAUCAGGGAUAAAGAGGCAAAAGACCUUAAAGACUUACCACGCUGCCUGUCAUAAUUUUUGGUCUUUGAAUCUUAAAGCUUAAAAAAGAAUCCAGAAGUUGCUCAGAAGUUGCGUGAUUUUAUAUUAAAAUCUUUACAGGGAGGAGUUAGUGGUCUUAAUUGCAUUUCCCAUUAAACAGAAAUCCUCUAUGCAAAACCUGCAACCUCCAACCUUGGUCUCUUCCGACCAAAUUUAGAGUGUCAGCAGAUGUGCUUCAAAGAAAAUGGACAAGUAAAGUGUAUUGCAUCUCACCACUAAAAAUAAUCCUGUGAAGCUUGGGCAUUUCGAUGUUUCCUAAGUAUCUGUUCCUUCAAUAUUUUGCAUAUGCUCCAUAAUUCACAUCAAAAUAACUCCAUUACAAGUAUAUAUUUUGCUAACUCAUUUUAAAUUGUGGUUUGAAAUCUUUGAGAAUUGCUUGUUAUCCUGGGGUUUUUUGUUCUGUUUUGACAUUGUGGGAGAGGAGUGCAUUUGGCAUCCUUAGAGCUGAGCUAAACUUGCUUUUACCACCAGACCCCCCAUGGUCAAAUUGCAUCUUCAUAAUUAAUAAUUGCUCUUUCUUCUGAAACACUGUGCAUCUCAGCCAAAUUCAGCCUUAUAUUGCUUAAAUAAGCACAAAACACUUUAAAACUACAUAGGAGUUGUUUGAACUUUUAUGUUAAUAACUGUUUAACGUGGAGAAAGUUCUUUCUUCUAUUUUUACUUGAUGUAUUUGAUCUGAUUUUAGCCUAUUAUAACAAAAUGUGGCUUUUAAUGCAGCUAAGGAAUGGACCAAGGUGUACAGGCAUCUGUGCAACCAUGGUUACAGUUUCAGACUGCAUCCAUGUACUGAAUGUAAGAGAAGUGAGAGACAUUUUUUCCAAAUGUAGGUGGAUUUUUUUUGUUAUUUUUUUAUUCUCCCCUCCCCUCAAUAGGUCUCUUUCUUUUACCUUUUUUACCUGCUUAGUAUAUAAAGUGCAACAAAUGCUUUGUAAACACUAUGAACAUGUACUGAAUUUCUGAUUAAAUGUUUUACUUCUGUCU